GGACGGCUAUCUAAAACACCGUUGUUGUGUUUAAAAUGAAAGUUUGUAAUUAUUACACGGCAUGAUAUGCGUCCUUUUAAUACAAGAAAAUAAAGCCAAUUUGAUAUGCUAAAGUUUUGAAAAUUUAAACAUGCUUUAUCUUAUAUUGAGUAUUGCAGCUAUCCUUUCCUUUCAGUUUGUUAUAUCAUUUGAACAUAAAUGUACAAGUAUUGCAUAUACCAUUUUCUUUUUAUAAAUAUUAGAUCAAUUUAAUUCUUAGUUUUAUUAUCUUGUAAACAAAAUGUUUAUAUGUUCAUGACAGACUUGACUUAUUUUAUAAAAUUCACUUGCAGUUCAUUUGACUUACAGUAAAAAUACAUCAACCCAAUGUCACCCAAUUUCAUUCUUAUCAUGCACCAUUAUGAUUGAUGAUAUUAUUUGAAGUAAGAGAUAUGGGUUUCCAAAUAAAGAUAAGGCUAUUGUUCAUUGAACUUUUAUAUAACAAUUACACGAACGCGACAACAAAGAACUCAAAUAAGUAAUAAAUAUCUUGGAAUUAAUAAUGUAAACAUGAAAAAGAUAGACAUUAGAAAUUAAACACUAAUAGAAAAUCAUAUUUUGAUGAUAUUCAAGAAAUUGGAUUUGGGUGACGCAUAUUUUACGUUUAAUUGAACAAUUUUGAGUAUCAUAUCUUAAGGUACUACACAUCAGUGGAGCCAACAUUUCCCAAUGAUUCAUUUUUUUUGUUUUUUGGAUUGAAACCAGUAAAUACUUAAAGUUUGAAAGAAAUGGGACGCAAAUAAAUUGCCCAGAUCGCCUUAACCCCACCGUUUCUAUUUCUUUUCAGUGUCCAGAGUGUAAAAUGAAUAGUCAUUGUUAAAUUUUGCGUUGCCAAAAACUUUCAAAGAUAGUACUAAUGUUGGUGCUAUUUUUAAAGAUUUCCGUUUUUUGUUUAUUAAACUGAAAAUAAACUAUCCUGUAACUGAC
rnacentral:misc_RNA from 1 species